UCUCUGUCCCUGAGACCCUUAACCUGUGAUGUCUUGUAAGGUCACAGGUGAGGUCCUUGGGAACACAG
rnacentral:pre_miRNA from 13 species